rnacentral:rRNA from 1 species
AGAGUUUGAUCAUGGCUCAGGAUAAACGCUGGCGGCGCACAUAAGACAUGCAAGUCGAACGGACUUAAUCCAUUCUUUAAGAUUGGAAGCGGUUAGUGGCGGACUGGUGAGUAAUACGUAAGCAACCUGCCUAUUAGAGGGGAACAACAGUUAGAAAUGACUGCUAAUACCGCAUAUGCCAUAGAUACCACAUGGUAUCAGUGGGAAAGGAGCAAUCCGCUAAUAGAUGGGCUUACGGCUGAUUAGCUAGUUGGUGGGGUAAAGGCCUACCAAGGCGACGAUCAGUAGCCGGACUGAGAGGUUCAACGGCCACAUUGGGACUGAGAUACGGCCCAGACUCCUACGGGAGGCAGCAGUCGGGAAUUUUGCGCAAUGGAGGAAACUCUGACGCAGUGACGCCGCGUGCAGGAAGAAGGUUUUCGGAUUGUAAACUGCUUUAGACAGGGAAGAACAAGGACAGUACCUGUAGAAUAAGCUCCGGCUAACUACGUGCCAGCAGCCGCGGUAAUACGUAGGGAGCAAGCGUUAUCCGGAUUUAUUGGGUGUAAAGGGUGCGUAGACGGGGAAAUAAGUUAGUUGUGAAAUCCCUCGGCUUAACUGAGGAACUGCAACUAAAACUGUUUUUCUUGAGUACUGGAGAGGAAAGUGGAAUUCCUAGUGUAGCGGUGAAAUGCGUAGAUAUUAGGAGGAACACCAGUGGCGAAGGCGACUUUCUGGACAGAAACUGACGUUGAGGCACGAAAGUGUGGGGAGCAAACAGGAUUAGAUACCCUGGUAGUCCACACUGUAAACGAUGGAUACUAGGUGUAGGGUGUGAAUAACACUCUGUGCCGUCGC